rnacentral:rRNA from 1 species
CGGGGGGCAGCAGUGGGGAAUUUUGGACAAUGGGGGAAACCCUGAUCCAGCCAUCCCGCGUGUGCGAUGAAGGCCUUCGGGUUGUAAAGCACUUUUGGCAGGAAAGAAACGUCAUGGGUUAAUACCCCGUGAAACUGACGGUACCUGCAGAAUAAGCACCGGCUAACUACGUGCCAGCAGCCGCGGUAAUACGUAGGGUGCAAGCGUUAAUCGGAAUUACUGGGCGUAAAGCGUGCGCAGGCGGUUCGGAAAGAAAGAUGUGAAAUCCCAGAGCUUAACUUUGGAACUGCAUUUUUAACUACCGAGCUAGAGUGUGUCAGAGGGAGGUGGAAUUCCGCGUGUAGCAGUGAAAUGCGUAGAUAUGCGGAGGAACACCGAUGGCGAAGGCAGCCUCCUGGGAUAACACUGACGCUCAUGCACGAAAGCGUGGGGAGCAAACAGGAUUAGAUACCCGAGU